UUGAUGCCCCGAUGCCUGUACGAUCACCGAAGUUAAGCAAUAUCGACCCUGGUCAGUACCUAUAUGGGUGACCGCUUGGGAAUACCAGGUGCUGUAAG